CCAACAGGGAUUACCUCAGUAACGGCGAGUGAAGCGGUAACAGCUCAAAUUUGAAAUCUGGCCUCACGGUCCGAGUUGUAAUUUGUAGAGGAUGCUUCGAGCAUGGUCUGGCCUAAGUUCCUUGGAACAGGACGUCAUAGAGGGUGAGAAUCCCGUAUGCGGCCAGGUGCCUACGCUCAUGUGAAGCUCCUUCGACGAGUCGAGUUGUUUGGGAAUGCAGCUCAAAAUGGGUGGUAAAUUUCAUCUAAAGCUAAAUAUUGGCCAGAGACCGAUAGCGCACAAGUAGAGUGAUCGAAAGAUGAAAAGCACUUUGGAAAGAGAGUUAAACAGUACGUGAAAUUGUUGAAAGGGAAGCGCUU
rnacentral:rRNA from 1 species